GCAGUUAUAGGUAAAUGGUAUACCAGUGCUCUUCCAAAGCGAUAUUCCUUUUUCGAUUAAAGGUAACUGCA